UUUGAUGAGAAAAUUGUAACAAACACUGGAUUGGAUUGGCUACAAGUCCGAAAUAGGGAAAAUAGGACGGGUUAUGUAACCCAUCCUCACAUACAGGUUACAAGUCCCGUCUCCCGAUCUUUCUUCUUCCUCUAUGCGCAAAUUCUUGUUCUUCGUUGUGGGAUCUUCUUCGGUUUGGCCUUUGAUUUCUCUUCGGCUUGGCAUUGUCUUCUUCUUAAUUUCAGCGAUCAUAUUCCCGCGAGCUCAUCUUUGAUCUGGUCGUACAACGGGGAUGGGCUGUUGGGAACAACGUCGCGCAAUCGUUAUGCAAUUUCCUCUUUUUUGUUCAAGAUGUUGAAGGGGCUUAACCGUAACGAUUCAAGUAGGAGGGGAGGGGAGGGGAGAGGAGGGAAGGGAAGAGAGAUUAGGAGGGAAGAGAAUCCUCCUCCGAUGUGAUCUUCACAAAGAGCUCCUGCUGUAUAUGCCACAACAUGAACGCUUUUCUACAAGCACGACCGAUACGCCAAUGGGAGGGAAAUUGAGUGGGCAUUGAGAAACCUCGACUGCAAUCCUGCUCUUCCUGCUGUGUUCAUAGGAGGGGAUGCUGAAAGAUGCACAAGCCAUCUAGUUUCAGCUAGCUGGUACCUAUAUAUUAUCACACGGGAGGCUUAAGCUUGCUGUGCUAAUGUUUUGUUAGUUAGUUCUAGUAGUACAUACAGAAAAGAAUCCCAAUACUAUGCUUAAAGAAAAUGUUAACUUGCCUAGCUACAUUUUAUAUGUACGCAUAAAAUGCUUUGAACUUGAUAUUGUACGAUCUUGGUUAUCCCAGAGGUUUGAAUUUUCAGAAUUUUAACUUUGUUAAGGUUUGAAUUUUAAUU